rnacentral:rRNA from 1 species
GAUGAACGCUAGCGACAGGCCUAACACAUGCAAGUCGAGGGGCAGCACGGUGUAGCAAUACACGGGUGGCGACCGGCGCACGGGUGAGUAACGCGUAUGCAACCUGCCUACUACAAGGGGAUAACCCGUUGAAAGACGGACUAAUACCCUAUAACACAGGGAAUCCGCAUGGAUAUAUUUGUUAAAGAUUUAUCGGUAGUAGAUGGGCAUGCGUUCCAUUAGCUUGUUGGUGAGGUAACGGCUCACCAAGGCAACGAUGGAUAGGGGAACUGAGAGGUUGGUCCCCCACACUGGUACUGAGACACGGACCAGACUCCUACGGGAGGCAGCAGUGAGGAAUAUUGGUCAAUGGGCGGAGCCUGAACCAGCCAAGUCGCGUGAAGGAAGAAGGAUCUAUGGUUCGUAAACUUCUUUUGCAGGGGAAUAAAGUGCGGGACGUGUCCUGUUUUGUAUGUACCCUGAGAAUAAGGAUCGGCUAACUCCGUGCCAGCAGCCGCGGUAAGC